CACUCCUGCGGGAGGCAGCAGUGGGGAAUUUUGGACAAUGGGCGAAAGCCUGAUCCAGCCAUGCCGCGUGCAGGAUGAAGGCCUUCGGGUUGUAAACUGCUUUUGUACGGAACGAAACGGCCUUUUCUAAUAAAGAGGGCUAAUGACGGUACCGUAAGAAUAAGCACCGGCUAACUACGUGCCAGCAGCCGCGGUAAUACGUAGGGUGCAAGCGUUAAUCGGAAUUACUGGGCGUAAAGCGUGCGCAGGCGGUUAUGUAAGACAGUUGUGAAAUCCCCGGGCUCAACCUGGGAACUGCAUCUGUGACUGCAUAGCUAGAGUACGGUAGAGGGGGAUGGAAUUCCGCGUGUAGCAGUGAAAUGCGUAGAUAUGCGGAGGAACACCGAUGGCGAAGGCAAUCCCCUGGACCUGUACUGACGCUCAUGCACGAAAGCGUGGGGAGCAAACAGGAUUAGAAACCCGGGUAGUCCCAUG
rnacentral:rRNA from 1 species